rnacentral:rRNA from 1 species
AGCGAACGCUGGCGGCAGGCCUAACACAUGCAAGUCGAGCGGCCGUAGCAAUACGGCAGCGGCAGACGGGAGAGUAACACGUGGGAACGCGCCCUUUGGUUCGGAAUAACUCAGGGAAACUUGAGCUAAUACCGGAUAAGCCCUUACGGGGAAAGAUUUAUCGCCAAAGGAACGGCCCGCGUCCGAUUAGCUAGUUGGUGAGGUAACGGCUCACCAAGGCGACGAUCGGUAGCUGGUCUGAGAGGAUGACCAGCCUCACUGGGACUGAGACACGGCCCAGACUCCUACGGGAGGCAGCAGUGGGGAAUAUUGGACAAUGGGCGCAAGCCUGAUCCAGCCAUGCCGCGUGAGUGAUGAAGGCCUUAGGGUUGUAAAGCUCUUUUAGCAGGGAAGAUAAUGACGGUACCUGCAGAAAAAGCCCCGGCUAACUUCGUGCCAGCCGCCGCCGUAA